GAGGGUAUAGCUCAGUGGUAGAGUGGGUGCUUAGCAUGCACGAUAUCCUGGGUUCAGUCCCCAGGACCUCCA
rnacentral:tRNA from 1 species